GGGGGGUUCCUGUUCCACCUCCACCAACCUCAAAACGCGGGUGGAAGGGCAGUUUUGGGGGUGCAGGUGCCCCCCCUUGACUCCUCAAGCCCUCCCUCCCUCAGCUCCUGGCCUCGGCCAGUUACGACGACACGGUGAAGCUGUACCGGGAGGAGGAGGACGACUGGGUGUGCUGUGCCACGCUGGAGGGCCACCAGUCCACCGUCUGGAGCGUGGCCUUCGACCGCAGCGGCCAGCGCUUGGCUUCCUGCAGCGACGACAAGACGGUCCGCAUCUGGCAGCAGUACAAGCCGGGCAACGAGGAAGGGGUGGCCUGCAGCGGCAAUGAUCCCACCUGGAAGUGUGUCUGCAACCUCUCUGGCUACCACACCAGGACCAUCUACGACGUGGCGUGGUGCCACCUCACCGGGGCGCUGGCCACCGCCUGCGGCGACGACGCCAUCCGGGUCUUCGAGGAGAGCACGGUGGCUUCCUCCUCCUCCUCCUCUUCCUCGCAUCCGCAGCAGCCCACCUUCAGCCUGGCUGCCCACGUCCCCCGGGCGCACUCGCAGGACGUCAACUGCGUGGCCUGGAACCCCAAGGAGCCGGGUUUGUUGGCCUCCUGCAGCGACGACGGGGAGAUCGCCUUCUGGAGGUACCAGCGCCCCGAAGUCUGCUGAGAACUUCCAGCUCCUCCAGAAUCCUCCCUUCUCCACCAGCCGGGGCCUUCGGAAUCCUCCCUUCUCCUCCAGCCCCUCCGGAAUCCUCACUUCUCCACCAGCCGGGGCCUUCGGUGCGGAGAAGGGGGCAGGGACGAUGGUGACCCACCUCUUCUGCCCCACGAGGUGGGACUUUGGGACGCCCAGGACCCAUCCCUGGGGAUCUGGGUGA
rnacentral:lncRNA from 1 species